GACGAACGCUGGCGGCGUGCCUAAUACAUGCAAGUCGAGCGGAGUUGAUGAGAAGCUUGCUUCUCUGAGACUUAGCGGCGGACGGGUGAGUAACACGUAGGUAACCUGCCUAUAAGACUGGGAUAACAUUCGGAAACGGAUGCUAAUACCGGAUAUGCAUUUUGAUCGCAUGAUCGGAAUGGGAAAGACGGAGCAAUCUGUCACUUAUAGAUGGACCUGCGGCGCAUUAGCUAGUUGGUGAGGUAAUGGCUCACCAAGGCGACGAUGCGUAGCCGACCUGAGAGGGUGAUCGGCCACACUGGGACUGAGACACGGCCCAGACUCCUACGGGUGCAG
rnacentral:rRNA from 1 species